UACGUAGGGAGCGAGCGUUAUCCGGAAUGAUUGGGCGUAAAGGGCGCGUAGGCGGCUUGGUAAGUCUGGAGUGAAAGUCCUGUUUUUAAGAUGGGAAUUGCUUUGGAUACUGCUGAGCUUGAGUGCAGGAGAGGUAAGUGGAAUUCCCAGUGUAGCGGUGAAAUGCGUAGAGAUUGGGAGGAACACCAGUGGCGAAGGCGACUUACUGGACUGUGACUGACGCUGAGGCGCGAAAGUGUGGGGAGCAAAC
rnacentral:rRNA from 1 species